GCAUGAGAAGAGGCGCGACGUAUACAAGUGCGUGCAGUCGUCCGUAUGCGACCCGAAGCCGGGCGAUCUAGGCGUAGGUAGGUCGAAGCGUGGCGAAAGCUGCGUGGAGGACCGUUUGAGGUGUUGAUAUGCAAAUCGCUCUCGUGACCCGCGUCUAGGGGUGAAAGUCCAAUCGAGGUCGGAAAUAGCUGGUUCCUCCCGAAACAUAUCGCAGUAUGACCUGGUCUGAGAUAGUCGGCGGAGUAGAGCACUGAUUGGGGAAGCCGGACCCGAAAGGGUCUGUUCUCUUGUCAAACUCCCAAAUCGCUGUCGUCGUAGACGGCCAGCAGUCCGGGCUGGGGGGUAAGCUUCUAGUCCGUGAGGGAGACAACCCUGACCGUGGUUAAGGUCCCCAAAUAUCGGCCAAGUGUCAACACUUAAGGGAGUCCUGGGUCAUAAACAACUGGGAGGUUAGCUUAGAAGCAGCUAUCCUUUAAAGAGUGCGUAACAGCUCACCAGUCGAGAUUCAGGGCCCCGAAAAUGGACGGGGCUAAGCCGAUUACCGAUACCACGGAGCACCGCAAGGUGAUCUAGUAGGGAGGCGCUCUGCGUGGGCAGAAGCAUCUGCGUGAGCAGGUGUGGACCGCGUAGAGACGAAAAUCCUGGUAGCAGUAGCAGCAAAAUCGGGUGAGAAUCCCGAUCGCCGUAAGGGCCAGGGUUCCUCGGCAAUGUUCGUCAGCCGAGGGUCAGUCGGUCCUAAGACGUACCUUAAUCGGAGUACGCCAAAUGGGAAACAGGUUAAUAUUCCUGUACCUUUCAACAUUAAAACUGACGCUUCCGGAUAUGUCAAGCGUCCUUGCCUGGGCGUUCAAUCGUAUAAUCCUGUGGAGAGCCGUAAUGGCGAGAACCAGGAGAAAGCGUGAUGACGUAAGUUGGCAAAUUCCAGGAGUCCGUGAAAAGGGAGUUGAAAGUCCGUACCGAGAUCCAACACUGGUGCCCCAAGCUGAGAAGGCUAAGGCGUUUCGGCAUAUGCUAGCUAAGGGAAUUCGGCAAAUUAGCCACGUAACUUCGGGAUAAGUGGUGCCUGCUUUGCAAAAAGCAGGUCGCAGUGACGAGGGGACUCUGACUGUCUAAUAACAACAUAGGUGAUUGCGAAUCCGUAAGGACUAGUACAAUCACUGAAUCCUGCCCAGUGCAGGUACCUGAAAACCGGGUUCAACCGGAAGAAGGGCCUGUCAACGGCGGGGGUAACUAUGACCCUCUUAAGGUAGCGUAGUACCUUGCCGCUUAAUUGGCGGCUUGCAUGAAUGGAUCAACGAGAGUCCCACUGUCCCUAGCUGGUACCCGGUGAACCUUACAUUCCAGUGCAGAGUCUGGAGACCCCUAAUGGGAAGUGAAGACCCCGUGGAGCUUUACUGCAGCCUGCCGUUGGGUUGUGGUUCUGAUUGUAGAGCAUAGGUAGGAGACGUCGAAGCUCGGGCGCCAGUCCGAGUGGAGUCGCCCUUGGAAUACUACCCUUUCGGAGCUACCGCCCUAACUCAGAGAUGAGGACCUCGGUAGGUGGGCAGUUUGGGUGGGGCGCCACGCCCUUGAAAAGGUAUCAAGGGCGCCCUAAGGUUGACUCAGUUGGGUCGGAAACCCAACGAAGAGUGUAAAGGCAUAAGUCAGCCUGAUGUUACCUCGAAUAGCAAGAGGUGAUAAGACGAAAGUCGGGCUUAGCGAACCUCUCUGCUCUCUUGGUGAGAGCGUUAGAUGACAGAAAAGCUACCCCGGGGAUAACAGAGUCGUCACCGGCAAGAGCACAUAUCGACCCGGUGGCUUGCUACCUCGAUGUCGGUUCUUUCCAUCCUGGCCGUGCAGCAGCGGCCAAGGGUGAGGUUGUUCGCCUAUUAAAGGAGAUCGUGAGCUGGGUUUAGACCGUCGUGAGACAGGUCGGUUACUAUCUGUUAGGGGUGUUUUGCGGUCUGAGGGAAGGUUGGCUUUAGUACGAGAGGAACAAGCCAACGGCGCCUCUGGUCUAUCGGCUGUCUGGCAAGGCAUGCCGAGCAGCUACGCGCUCGCAGAUAAGGGCUGAAAGCAUCUAAGCCCGAAACUGCUCCUGAAAAGAGACCGCUCAAGGGUACUCGUAGAAGACGAGUUUGAUAGAGCUGGGGUGUACGCACCAAGGCAACGAGGUGUUCAGCUCGCAGCUACUAACAACCCAGCAGCGCUCCGC
rnacentral:rRNA from 1 species